rnacentral:rRNA from 1 species
UAAAUCAGUUAUGGUUCACUGGAUCGUCAAUUUUACACGGAUAACUGUGGUAAUUCUAGAGCUAAUACGUGCAAAUAGCUCGCUUCCUUGUGGAGUGAGCGCAGUUAUUAAAUCAAAACCAAUCCGGCCUUCGGGUCGGUACAUUUGGUGACUCUGAAUAACCGAAGCGGAGCGCAUGGUCUCGUACCGGCGCCAGAUCUUUCAAGUGUCUGACUUAUCAGCUUGUUGUUAGGUUACGUUCCUAACAAGGCUUCAACGGGUAACGGGGUAUCAGGGUCCGAUACCGGAGAGGGAGCCUGAGAAACGGCUACCACAUCCAAGGAAGGCAGCAGGCGCGCAAAUUACCCACUCCUAGCACAGGGAGGUAGUGACGAAAAAUAACGAUGCGAGGGCUAUUAGCUUCUCGUAAUCGGAAUGGGUACACUUUAAAUCCUUUAACGAGGAUCUAUUGGAGGGCAAGUCUGGUGCCAGCAGCCGCGGUAAUUCCAGCUCCAAUAGCGUAUAUUAAAGUUGCUGCGGUUAAAAAGCUCGUAGUUGGAUCUGGGCUUCUGAAUGGAUGGUGUACUUUUCGGUGCAACUGUUCGUUUGGUGCCACAUGCCGGCCAUGUCUUGCAUGCUCUUCAUUGAGUGUGCAUGGCGACCGGAACGUUUACUUUGAAAAAAUUAGAGUGCUCAAAGCAGGCGUAUGGCCUUGCAUAAUGGUGCAUGGAAUAAUGGAAUAGGACCUCGGUUCUAUUUUGUUGGUUUUCGGAACUCGAGGUAAUGAUUAAUAGGAACAGACGGGGACAUU